GAGAUCCUUCGCGGUCUAGUGGCGCACGGGUGCGUAACGCGGUGGGAAUCUGCCUUGGGGUUCGGAAUAACUCCCCGAAAGGGGUGCUAAUACCGGAUGAUGUCGAAAGACCAAAGAUUUAUCGCCCUGAGAUGAGCCCGCGUAGGAUUAGCUAGUUGGUGUGGUAAAGGCGCACCAAGGCGACGAUCCUUAGCUGGUCUGAGAGGAUGAUCAGCCACACUGGGACUGAGACACGGCCCAGACUCCUACGGGAGGCAGCAGUGGGGAAUAUUGGACAAUGGGCGAAAGCCUGAUCCAGCAAUGCCGCGUGAGUGAUGAAGGCCUUAGGGUUGUAAAGCUCUUUUUACCCGGGAAGAUAAUGACUGUACKGGGAGAAUAAGCCCCGGCUAACUCCGUGCCAGCAGCCGCGGUAAUACGGAGGGGGGCUAGCGUUGUUCGGAAUUACUGGGCGUAAAGCGCACGUAGGCGGCUUUUGUAAGUCAGAGGUGAAAGCCUGGAGCUUCAACUCCAGAACUGCCUUUUGAGACUGCUUCCCUUGAAUCCAGGAGAGGUGAGUUGGAAUUCCGAGUGUAGAGGUGAAAUUCGUAGAUAUUCGGAAGA
rnacentral:rRNA from 1 species